AGGCAGCCAAAAGCCUUUAAAUGAGAGUAAGUGGGUGCCUUGCUAUGCAAGAUUUCAUAAGGGGAUUUACCAUAAAGGAGCCUGGAAGGUAUUAUGUUAAUAAGAUAGGUAGCAGUUAAUAGACAAUCACCCCAGAAAGAAAUUGGUAAACCAUACUGGAAAAGUAAAGCUCUACAGGUUUCAAGAAGAGUUCUAUGUUUCCUCUCAACAACACCAUUAUGUUGGGGAGUAUGUGGGCAAGUGGUUUGGUGUAUGAUGCCAUGUUUGUUAAAAAAGGAUGUUCCAGCAAUGCUAGAUCCCAAUUCUAAAGUAUUGUCACUCCUAACAGUUUGUACAUUUGCAUUGAAUUGGGUCUUGACCAUACAGAGAAACGAUUGUAGCAUGCAGAAAGCAUUGCUUUUAGACCCUAACAAAUGUGUCCAGGUUGCCCUAGAAAAGUCAUCAACUAUUGUGAGAAAAUAUCUAGAACCAGAAGAGGUGGGGGGUCCAGGUUGCCCUAGAAAAGUCAUCAACUAUUGUGAGAAAAUAUCUUGAACCAGAAGAGGUGGGGGUAUGAUAAGGUCCCCAAGUAUCAACAUGAAUCAACUGAAAAGGUUUAGAUGUACUAGUGGUGCUUUCAGGAAAGGGAAGCCUAGUUUGCCUGGCCAUAGGACAGGUAGAGCAUUGAAAAGGCUGUUUAGAAGCAAAUGGAAAAGGUAAAGCAGAAAUGUUUUUCAUGUUCACAAAAGGUAUAUGACCCAACCUAAAAUGCCAAAUGUAAUUCAUGUAUGUGGUAACAGUAUUAUUACACAUGGGACUGUUUACAUUCAAAGGCAAACCAACAGCUUGAUUACUA
rnacentral:lncRNA from 1 species